UACGUAGGUGGCAAGCGUUGUCCGGAUUUAUUGGGUUUAAAGGGUGCGUAGGCGGCUUUGUAAGUCAGUGGUGAAAUAUGGCAGCUCAACUGUCAAGGUGCCAUUGAUACUGCGGAGCUUGAGUACAGAUGAGGUAGGCGGAAUUGACGGUGUAGCGGUGAAAUGCGUAGAGAUCGGGAGGAAUACCUGUGGCGAAGGCGGCCUACUGGGCCGGACCUGACGCUGAGACGCGAAGGCGUGGGGAGCGAACGGG
rnacentral:rRNA from 1 species